GGGUCUCGCGCUCAGGCGAGGUCGGACAAGGCGACCGAGCGGAAACCGCGCGUUCGUCUCAAUGCAAAGACUGAAUAAUGAAGGAGCAAACCCUUCUGACGGUCUCCGAUCGGGUCGAACUCUUGGUCAACGCGCUUCAUCCGGAUCAAGAUCACCCGCCGGUGGUGAAACUUUUCACCCCUGAUGGGUCGGCAACAUGGCUUCUCUCGGAGAGCGAUCCUGACGAU
rnacentral:misc_RNA from 1 species